GCCGUCACCCUCUUGCGGUCGCUGGCGGGUCGCGGUAGACGGACCCGCACAGUGUCGCCGCUGUUGGUGCUGUCCAUCGCCUCUUUUUUCCCUUUUUUUUUCUGAACGCGCCUUUCUUUUUCCUCGUCUCUUUUUUUCCCUUUUUGCGGCCGUUGUCUCUGCUGUAGUCUCUCUCCUUUUUCCCUGUUUUUCGCUUUUUUUUACUUUUUUUGCUGCUCUUUUGCUUUUCUGUUGGGUGUUGGAUGGGUUUUUUUUCGUCGUCGGCGCCCGUUGGUGCGCGUCCUGCUCGGCCCUUGCCUUGGUCUCUCUUUUUUUUUGU
rnacentral:lncRNA from 1 species